UACAGAGGUCCCGAGCGUUGUUCGGAUUCACUGGGCGUAAAGGGUGCGUAGGUGGUUGGGUAAGUUUGAUGUGAAAGCUCAGGGCUUAACCCUGAAAUGGCAUUGAAUACUACUUAACUGGAGGUUUGGAGGGGGGACUGGAAUUCUUGGUGUAGCAGUGAAAUGCGUAGAUAUCAAGAGGAACACCUGAGGUGAAGACGGGUUGCUGGGCCGACACUGACGCUGAGUGCGCGAAAGCCAGGGGAGCAAACGGG
rnacentral:rRNA from 1 species